rnacentral:pre_miRNA from 1 species
AUAAUACUCCCUCCGUCCCAAAAUUCUUGUCUUAGAUACAUCCGCAUCUAGACAAAUCUAAGACAAGAAUUUUGGGACGGAGGGAGUAGUUA